UUAAAAAAUUUGUGUUAAAAUAUCUGCAAAAGACGGUCACUAUCAGGGGCCUUGGUGGCCCAGUGGUAUAAGCGCCACUUACGACGGGGGAGGUCGGGGUUCGAACCCGGAUCAGGGCUGAAAGUUUGCGACGAAAAUGGGUAAUUGCCAUGAAAAGGGAACAUUUCGAACCGUCAAAAUAUUCGAAGCUGUGUUCAGAUCAUUUCAAAAAGGAAGACUUUGUUUUUACUUUUGGCUAAAAAACAUUAAAAUUGGGCACAGUGCCUACGAUUUUUAAUUUUCCAUCGCAUUUAUUAAAGAAGGAACCCAAGGAACGCUCCACUAGGCUCCGAAACUUUGAAAAUGAUGGUAAUUUGGUUGAGACGGUUGUGACCAAUGUUGUGACAGAAUCAGAAACUGGCGCAUCUGAAGUAUCUGUGACCAGUUCUUCCACUUCCCAUCAAGAGCAGCAGCCAUCAACCUCCACGGUACCUUCUGCAGAUGUUUUUUUAAUCUGCAGAGCUGCCAAAAAUGUAUUCAGAAAUUAUGAGAUGAUCUCAUCAGGAAACGUUAUUUUACGGCUAAUAUAUUUAACAAGAAAACAACUGAAAAUUUGUGAAUUAUUUGUUAAACUGAAUGACCACAUUCUGGAUCAAGAUCCUCUGAACAAUCAUUUGUUGCAACUUGUAAAUUUAAUUUUAAAAACUUUUUUUACGAUUCGGUUGCACCACAAAAAUAUGUCAAUCAAUGAAACCAAAGAAAGAAUUCGGCACAAAUAUUCAAAAUUAAUUUUAUUUAAAAAUCAAUGAAAGCCGUUUACUUUGCGUUUUUUCUCCUUGUUGUAAUCUUUAAACUGUUUAUGCCGCAAUAAUAAAAUUUUAAAUUAGAAUUCA